rnacentral:rRNA from 1 species
AGUGAACGCUGGCGGUAGGCCUAACACAUGCAAGUCGAACGGCAGCACAGUAAGAGCUUGCUCUUACGGGUGGCGAGUAGCGGCCGGGUGAGGAAUACAUCGGAAUCUACUUUUUCGUGGGGGGUAACGUAGGGAGACUUACGCUAAUACCGCAUACGACCUACGGGUGAAAGCAGGGGAUCUUCGGACCUUGCGCGAUUGAAUGAGCCGAUGUCGGAUUCGCUAGUUGGCGGGGUAAAGGCCCACCAAGGCGACGAUCCGUAGCUGGUCUGAGAGGAUGAUCAGCCACACUGGAACUGAGACACGGUCCAGACUCCUACGGGAGGCAGCAGUGGGGAAUAUGGGACAAUGGGCGCAAGCCUGAGCCAGCCAUACCGCGUGGGUGAAGAAGGCCUUCGGGUUGUAAAGCCCUUUUGUUGGGAAAGAAAAGCAGCAGGUUAAUACCCCGCUGUUCUGACGGUACCCAAAGAAUAAGCACCGGCUAACUUCGUG